GGGUCCGCCCAUUGCUUUUCUUAGAUACUAAUAAAAUUGGCUAGGCCAGCAAUGGAAUCAAUUAAAUAACCACCACACUUGAAACACUCCUUAGACACCAAUUAAUUAAUCGAUUCAAAAAAAUAGUUCAGCUUGUGGUUCACAACACUAUGACUUAAUAAGAUUUUUAUGAGGGAUUUAAUGGUCUCAAAAACAUCCUAAAUCAAUCAAUCACA
rnacentral:lncRNA from 1 species